rnacentral:tRNA from 1 species
GGUGAUAUGGCUCAGCUGGUAAAGUGUUUGCCUAGCAAGCACAAAGACCUGGGUUCAGUUCCCAGCACUU